rnacentral:rRNA from 1 species
CACGGGGGGAGCAAGCGUUGUUCGGAAUCACUGGGCGUAAAGAGCUCGUAGGCGGUUUGUCGCGUCUGCUGUGAAAACUGGAGGCUCAACCUCCAGCCUGCAGUGGGUACGGGCAAACUAGAGUGCGGUAGGGGGAGAUUGGAAUUCCUGGUGUAGCGGUGGAAUGCGCAGAUAUCAGGAGGAACACCGAUGGCGAAGGCAGAUCUCUGGGCCGUAACUGACGCUGAGGAGCGAAAGCAUGGGGAGCGAACAGG